rnacentral:tRNA from 1 species
GCCUCGGUAGCGCAGUAGGUAGCGCGUCAGUCUCAUAUUCUGAAGGUCGUGAGUUCGAUCCUCACCCGGGGCA